rnacentral:rRNA from 1 species
UGAGGAAUAUUGGGCAAUGCCCGCAAGGGUGACCCAGCAACGCCGCGUGGAGGAUGAAUGUCGUAAGAUUGUAAACUCCUGUUAGAGGGGAAGAAUAGUACCGGUUGGACCGGUAUAUGACUGUACCCUCAGAGAAAGCCCCGGCUAACUACGUGCCAGCAGCCGCGGUAAUACGUAGGGGGCAAGCGUUGUCCGGAUUUACUGGGUGUAAAGGGCGCGCAGGCGGGAUAAAAAGUCAGUGGUGAAAUCCUACAGCUUAACUGUAGAACUGCCUUUGAUACUGUUAGUCUUGAGUUCGGGAGAGAGAGACGGAAUUCCAGGUGUAGUGGUGAAAUACGUAGAUAUCUGGAAGAACACCAGUUGCGAAGGCGGUCUCUUGGUCCGACACUGACGCUGAGGCGCGAAAGCGUGGGG